GUCGUCGAUUGUGAAAUGUCAUGCGGUUUAUUUUCCAGCUUUAUUUGCGUGGCAUUGUAACUUAAUGGAUUUUUUUUUUUCAAUAAUCAAAUCGCACAGUUCCGACAAGUUUUAAAAAGCACCCGUCUGCUGUAGGAAAGCGUGGGAGUUUUACCUCUCUCCCCCUCUGUCCGACACAAAUGGUUCGGCUGCGUGCGGAUAUUGUUACCGAAGGUGUUUCGGUUUGCGGUCCGCUGCUCGCGCUCAGCUGGUCUCACGCAUGAGCCGCACCGCACGAGACGCGCAGCGGUGCGCCGGACGGACGGUCCGAUUGCGCUCGCGAGGGGUCGCGGCUGGGGGGCGGGGGUAAGGCAGCGGCUGGUCGUCGAGUCGCGGAUCGCGGAAAGAUGACUUAAGCCACGCGCUCGCGCUGCUGGCCAGGGCUCGGAGGAGGUGUGAAAAGCAUUCCAGGAGGUCCCGAGGGCAACCGGCCGACGGGCAGCCGGCAACGUGUCCUGUCGUCCUACGCGCCCUACGUAGCAGUAAUAAAUAUGGCUCUCAGGGGCCUUAGUAUGCACUGGAACGCGCGGGGCCUGGGCUGUGUGUUACCAUGGUGAUCCUUUACUCUAAGACACUGGAAAAGAAGAAGGGUGUUGAUGAUGUAACAUCCAGGCAGUCACACUUGGAGCUGUGUGAGCCGCGGACCAUGAGCAGAGGGACGGCACUCUUCUCGUGCAGCACUGUAGAGGCUGACGGAUGGCACAAUCUCAGCCGGAGUUGUGGUCUUCAGCAGGAGCCAGCAAGUGGUGGCUUUGACAGUCUGUGGGGGGUGCUGCCCACAACAUGCCACAGGGGCCGCUUAUGGGCUGGGGAGGUGGACUCCACUAGCGUGCCCAUCACUAGUCUGAUUCAGGGCUUGAGCCUGAGCGACCCCAGGGCUACUUCCUCCCCAGUUCCUGCCUCUUCUACCUCCCCUUCGGCCGCACCCCCUAGCAAGCGUCAGUGCCGCUCGUUGUCCUUCUCAGCGUGGCGCCCUCAAGGCUCACGAGUGUGGACUGCCGUGGAGAAGAGGCGCUGCCACAGUGGGGGGAGUGCGCCACGUAGCUCCGGGGGACCAUCUCCAGGAGGAGGCCUGCCCACUAUGCAACGAAGCUCCAGCUUCAGUCUACCUGCUCGCUCCAAUGCCCUGCCCGCAGGCUUUGAGCUGCCCAGCUUCUCCUUCUCCUUCACUGGCACCGUGGAUCCAGUGCCACGGCCUCUCUCUUUGUCCCAUGAACUUAUUGCUAGUCCCUCGGAACCUUGCCGUCCCUUGGCCGCCAGUUCCCCGGAAUCAACACCGGAGUUUGUGCGGCGCCAGGGUCCCGGGGGUCUGGCCCGCAGCCACUCGCAGCCUUGCGUCCUGAACGACAAGAAAGUCGGCGUGAAGCGCAGGAGGCCAGGCCAAGGCAAGGAGCAAAGGCCUUCACUGGACCUGGCCAAGAUGACACAGAAGAGAAGUUCCACCUGUGUAAAACCUUGCAUCUUGAAAGCAUCCCGGCUCCACAUGUUAUCUGGGUCAAGCUUGACAAAGUCACCAUUGAUCAGCCCUUGGUGCCAAUUUUCAGACAUCAGUCCCCUGUCUGACCUGUCAAAUGGCUCCUAAGUGAUAAUCGGUUUCAGAACAUGAUGGGUCACCAUUUUCUUUUUGACCCUAAAGAUCAAAAGUCACCUUGACAUAUAAAACCUUGCUAUGCUAUUUCUCCUUGAUGCCUUGGAAUUAAAUGGUGCUAAUCUUGGCUUUCUAGGUCACUGCUUAGGACAAUGGAGCACCAUGUCGGGCAGUCUACACACAUGGGAAAGUAGGGAAAUAUUCCAAUGGUUUCCUGAAUUGUCCUUUAGAUGCGGUACAUAAGCAUUGCCUUUGUAGACGUCAUUCUUUGGAAAGGAGCUCUAUAGCAUUUACAGAUUUAGGUAAUACUUGCAGUAGGUAUGGAGCAGUGGGGAGUGUAGUUAUCAGAGCCAUUGCUCUGCAGUAAAAAGACUUGAGUUCGAUUUCUCACAACUGCUGUGGUAUCUCUGAGAAACAUACCCUGCACUGAUACAGUAAAAAUGACCCAGUUGUAUGAAUGGGCAAAGAAUAGUAAAUAGCUAGGGGUGCGGUGGUGCAGGUCCUGCUCUCUGGUGGGUCUGGGGUUCGAGUCCCGCUUGGGGUGCCUUGCGACAGACUGGUGUCCCGUCCUGGGUGUGUCCCCUCCCCCUCCGGCCUUACGCCCUGUGUUACCGGGUAGGCUCCGGUUCCCCGUGACCCCGUAUGGGACAAGCGGUUCUGAAAAAAAAAAAAAUAAAAAAAAAAAAAAAUAUCUAUAGAGAGAAUAU
rnacentral:lncRNA from 1 species